rnacentral:rRNA from 1 species
CUACGGAGGGGGUUAGCGUUGUUCGGAAUUACUGGGCGUAAAGCGCACGUAGGCGGAUUGGAAAGUUGGGGGUGAAAUCCCAGGGCUCAACCCUGGAACUGCCGCCAAAACUAACAGUCUAGAGUUCGAGAGAGGUGAGUGGAAUUCCAAGUGUAGAGGUGAAAUUCGUAGAUAUUUGGAGGAACACCAGUGGCGAAGGCGGCUCACUGGCUCGAUACUGACGCUGAGGUGCGAAAGCGUGGGGAGCAAACAGGAUUAGAAACCCUAGUAGUCC